rnacentral:rRNA from 1 species
AAGUUCCGACCUGCACGAAUGGCGUAACGACUUCCCCACUGUCUCCAGCAUAGGCUCAGCGAAAUUGAAUUCCCCGUGAAGAUGCGGGGUUCCCGCGGUCAGACGGAAAGACCCUAUGAACCUUUACUGCAGCUUCGCCUUGGCGUUAGCAGCAACAUGUGUAGGAUAGGUGGGAGGCUAUGAAACAGGGGCGCCAGUUCCUGCGGAGCCAUCCUUGA